AUGACCUGGACCCCUUUCCUCCUCGGAUUCCUGGCUCACUGCACAGUUUCCAUGGCUGCCUAUGUGCUGACUCAGCCCCCCUCAAUGUCAGUGAGCCUGGGACAGACAGCCAGCAUCACCUGUGGGAGAGACAACGUAGGAAAUACAUAUGUUUCCUGGCACCAGCAGAAGCCAGGCCAGGCACCCAUGAUGAUUAUCUAUGGUGAUAGCAGCCGGCCCUCAGGGAUCCCUGACCGAUUCUCAAGCACCAAUUUGGGGAACCCAGCCACCCUGACCAUCAGCAGGGCCUGGGCUGAGGACAAGGCUAUUACUGUCAGUCCUAUGAGAGUAAUGGUACUUCUCAUGGUGACACAGGCAGAUGGGGAAGUGAGACACAAACCCCUUCCCCACCUGUGUCACCCUCUCCUCCAGCCCCAGGAGACCUGUGCACAAACCAAUGA